ACUCCUACGGGAGGCAGCAGUGGGGAAUCUUGGACAAUGGGGGCAACCCUGAUCCAGCCAUGCCGCGUGAGUGAUGAAGGCCUUAGGGUCGUAAAGCUCUUUCGCCUGUGAUGAUAAUGACAGUAGCAGGUAAAGAAACCCCGGCUAACUCCGUGCCAGCAGCCGCGGUAAUACGGAGGGGGUUAGCGUUGUUCGGAAUUACUGGGGCGUAAAGCGCGCGUAGGCGGAUUAGUCAGUUAGAGGUGAAAUCCCAGGCUCAACCCUGGAACUGCCUUUAAUACUGCUAGUCUUGAGUUCGAGAGAGGUGAGUGGAAUUCCGAGUGUAGAGGUGAAAUUCGUAGAUAUUCGGUAGGAAC
rnacentral:rRNA from 1 species